rnacentral:rRNA from 1 species
UCUACGGGAGGCAGCAGUGGGGGAUAUUGCACAAUGGGGGGAACCCUGAUGCAGCGACGCCGCGUGGGUGAAGAAGCGCCUCGGCGCGUAAAGCCCUGUCAGCAGGGAAGAAAAUGACGGUACCUGAAGAAGAAGCCCCGGCUAACUACGUGCCAGCAGCCGCGGUAAUACGUAGGUGGCAAGCGUUGUCCGGAAUUACUGGGUGUAAAGGGAGAGCAGGCGGGAAGCCAAGUCAGCUGUGAAAACUACGGGCUUAACUUGUAGACUGCAGUUGAGACUGGUUUUCUUGAGUGAAGUAGAGGGUGGCGGAAUUCCGGGUGUAGCGGUGAAAUGCGUAGAUAUUCGGAGGAACACCGGUGGCGAAGGCGGCCAACUGGGCUUUAACUGACGCUGAGGCUCGAAAGUGUGGGGAGCAAACAGGAUUAGAUACCCCUGUAGUC